GCACCCGUAGCUCAAUUGGACAGAGCACUCGGCUACGAACCGAGAGAUCGGAGGUUCGAAUCCUCUCGGGUGUA
rnacentral:tRNA from 2 species